UGCGAACUCCUACGGGAGGCAGCAGUGGGGAAUAUUGGACAAUGGGCGAAAGCCUGAUCCAGCAAUGCCGCGUGAGUGAUGAAGGCCUUAGGGUUGUAAAGCUCUUUUACCCGAGAUGAUAAUGACAGUAUCGGGAGAAUAAGCUCCGGCUAACUCCGUGCCAGCAGCCGCGGUAAUACGGAGGGAGCUAGCGUUGUUCGGAAUUACUGGGCGUAAAGCGCACGUAGGCGGCGACUCAAGUCAGAGGUGAAAGCCCGGGGCUCAACCCCGGAACUGCCUUUGAAACUAGGUUGCUAGAAUCCUGGAGAGGCGAGUGGAAUUCCGAGUGUAGAGGUGAAAUUCGUAGAUAUUCGGAAGAACACCAGUGGCGAAGGCGACUCGCUGGACAGGUAUUGACGCUGAGGUGCGAAAGCGUGGGGAGCAAACAGGAUUAGAUACCCUAGUAGUCCAGAUG
rnacentral:rRNA from 1 species